rnacentral:tRNA from 1 species
GGUCCCGUAGCCUAGUGGUGAGGCAGAGGUCUGCAAAACCUCGUACGGCGGUUCGAAUCCGCCCGGGACCU